rnacentral:rRNA from 1 species
AUUCCAGCUCCAAUAGCGUAUAUUAAAGUUGUUGCAGUUAAAAAGCUCGUAGUUGGAUUUCGGGCGCGUGCGCACGGUCCGCCGAAAGGUGUGCACUGUAGAUGUGCGCGUCCUCUUUCCGUAGGUCGCGUGUGCCCUUAACUGGGUGGGCGCGGAAUGCGGAUCAUUUACUUUGAAUAAAUUAGAGUGUUCAAAGCAGGCUUUCGCUUGGAUACAUUAGCAUGGAAUAAUGGAAUAGGACUUUGGUUCUAUUUUGUUGGUUUCUAGAACCGGGGUAAUGAUUAAUAGGGAUAGUUGGGGGCAUUAAUAUUUAAUUGUCAGAGGUGAAAUUCUUGGAUUUAUGAAAGAUUAACUUCUGCGAAAGCAUUUGCCAAGGAUGUUUUCAUCG